GUGCCAAAAGUCCCGUUGCUGGUUACCAAGUGCAUUUUUUUAAACGUCCCUUUGAUACUUCUUUCCCUCGUGCUUGCCAUGGAAUAUGCAAGGGCAAAAGGAGGGAAACGAAGGGGAAGAAGGAUAUUUUUUCUCUUUGCCGAGUCCAACAUUUGGCUUUUUCCAUUUGUGGCGGAUCACUGUAACGCUAUUGUAAAACAACUUCCUGCCCCUUUUGGCUCACGUUCCAGAAGCUGCUAGGCUAAGUUCAUAGCACAAACUUUUUUCCCUCUUGCCGAAGAAGAGAGACACACACACACACACACACACACAAAAAUUACAAAAAAAAAUCCUGCAAAUUAUUCCCCCCCUUUUCUGGCUAAUGGACUCACAAGGUGAAUUUAUUGCAGCUCUUUAGGAAUGUUACAUGAGAGACGUCGCUAUCCCAGCUGGAUAAUUCAUAAGCUGAAAAGAUUUUACAGCCGAGCAAAGAACAGCACAUAGAUGAAAAACCACAAUAAACACCUUUCAGUGAAAGGUGACGAUUUUCUAUACACGAGCUUUCCAGGUAAUUUAUCUCGGUUACCAUGUUUAUAUACGUUCUUUGGUCACAACAACUAAAAAAUGAGAUGCAUCACAUUCUACCACCAGUUACUUCUUAAGCCAAAAAAAACCCCAGCAUUUUUGCAUAAAAUUAGUGAUAUGAGGACAUCCUAGUUCACUUUGGAUUAGUAUCCCACGCUUACCAUGCUCGGCUUCACAGGACUCUGUGUGCAUGUGUGUAUAUUUACUUGGUGCAAUACAAAGAAAAUGUUAUGAAAAACGCGAUGAAUACAAUCUGCUGGGACACAGCAUCAUGUUUCCUUACAGGCUGAGAAACAAUGCUUAUUUUGAGACCUCAGAGGCCCAAGCUUAAUGCUGCAAUUUUCAGGAGGUUUCUCUUUUUCUUUGAAGAGAAAAAUUCUCUGAUUUUCACUAGUCUAAGCUUCUUCAUUUGGUAGAGUACAGCGAGGGGAAAAAAAAAACCCAAUGUUUCAAGGCUGCAAACAGAGAAAAUGGAUUACAGGCAGCACAGGGGGAAGACCCGAGCAAUAUAUUUAGUCCAACAAGGGAUUAAGUGCUACAGCCAUGGGCAGAAGCACUUCUGAUGAAGCUGAACAUUGCUAAAGGUUCCAGAAGAAAAUAACAGGAAUAAGGCCAAGCAGGGGUUCCAAGCUGAUCAAAGUUUUGGCACAGGGCACUCGGCACCACAAACAAACCCCACAGGGGCUAAACGCGUUGAAAUUAGCACCAGCUCACCCAUCAUGCCAGCAACUUUGAAAGGAGGACCAGAAGUGCCAGACUCCAUAAAACAAAGUCCUAGAGAAGCACAGGAGUUUGUUGGGGGGGGUGGUUGGGUGUGUGAAAGGAGCCAAGUAUCAAUUCUUGCUAAGUAUCUUAGCUUUCUAGUCUCUAGCAACAUAUAAUUAAUGCAUAAAAUGUGGCAAGCUGGGGUCUCUUUAUAGCCAGCCUGCACACACGCUGGUAUGCCCUUUCCAUCUCUUCUGCUAGCCCUGCAUCCUCCAGCAUCAGAGAGGAAAAGGAAGGAAGAUUCUUUGCACUCCUGUUCAGGACAUUCAAGAAGUCACUUUCCCUGUUUGUAGGCUUCUUCAUAGCAGGAACACAUGCAUUUCAAAUGUUUUUAAAAAGAUGUGAACGCAUAAAUGAAAUAAAAAAUUCAAUAAAAAUAACAGAAUAACUUCCUUCUUCACCCACCAUGACUGUUCCUUACUCCUACGGUUUCUGAUGUUUCCUCACUCCAGUAGAAAGAGAGGGAAACUUACUGUCAUCGGGAAAACCAAAAGGAGAAAGCCUUCUUAGCAUACAUGUCCCACUGGGGAGCACGGGGUUUAGCCCAGAUGGCUCACAACAGAUUCCAACAGGGCCAAGCAUGAAGAAAGUUCCAAACCAUGUGUUUGCACCAUGAUGGGUGGUGCUCCCACUGCAGGUGGGUGAAAAGCUGGCACUCAGUAUAAUGGCCGUAUACAUUUUCUUACCUGUCCACUUUUGUGCCUGAAACCACCGAAUCUAACAAGACUUUCUAGUGUCUGCUGUUCCUCAAAAUCUAACAUAGAAAUAGUAGGCUUUUUAUUAUAUACCAAGGGUCAAAUAAAGAACAGUGGAGUCAGAAAACCUUCACAGACAAGUUUAGAAAAGCCUGUGUCCAGAGCAAUACAAUCACUCCGGGAAAACCAAAAGAUGUACAGCAGGUAUUUAAAAUAAGCUACCUGGAAACAGAGUACCAUACUGUCAUGUUGUAUGUUUAUCGAAUCCUCCCACUGACUUCAAAGGGAACACUCCGCUUUUGUGCAUGGAAGAUUACGCAGGCAUAGCGCAUCCAUCAGGAAAAAAAAAAGUAACAAAAUCUCUAAACACAGAAGUAGGUGGACAAGGGCAGUCUGAGUACUGAUAAAAGCUUUGUAAUAGGUUGAGGCAAGAAGGUACAAACAAAAGCUCUGAACUCAAGCAACUAGAAAAAAGAAUAUACUUACAAAUUAAUACUUAAAGUGGAGAUUGGGAGCAUAAGGGCUGAACCAAAGCCAUAAGGACAAUUUAUUGACAUACGUUAGAAGCAGGAAGACUGAACAGCAAUUGUCUGACAAGUCUGAAAUAGUACUGGGAAACAAAGGGAUUGAAUAAAGAAGAGGAAAAACACUGCAGAAAAGAUAACUGCUGAUUAGGACCUUAAGAUAUUUAGUCAUGCAAAAGAGUAAACUCACCCUUUCUCACCCUGUAUAACCAUAUUAGUGUUUCAUGUUAGCUGCGUUCCUGAU